AUAAACCGAGAAGGCUGAUUUUUAGAUGUUGUGUAGGGAGGGGGGGGACUUAGAAAAGCUGAACUUGCAAUUGUCGACCAAGAUUUCAUAUGAGUUUUCUCUGCCAUCUUGUCCUUUUGCGAUAACUCGAGUCACCGUCGUGAUACGAAAAUUGCGAUUUUAUACUUUAUUGUUAAUUUUUUUACGCUCUACAAUUUAGAUCACAUGAAUUUUUCACCUACCGUUGAUCGUUGUUGAGAUAUCGACCGAUACAGUCAAGCUUUUCUAAUCCCCCUCCCCUGUACAGUAUUUAAAAAUCAGCUUUUUCGGUUCAUUCGCGUUUUUUUUGCCUUUUUUUCGAACAUAACGACUGCACAACGUUGAGUGCUGAGACCCUUGUUCAAGCGGACAUCUUAACAUGUUGCCAAAAGACCCAGACGUGUGAAUAGUUAGGAGUCUUUUACCCCGAUUCUCGACCUGUUUAUCGGCGCUCCGCCUUGGCCUCCGUUCCUUCUCGUUAUUGCGCAAGACGUCGAGACUCGCGGAGGUUUCUUACAUUCCUUGUUCUGUCUUGCGGCAUUAAAGUACCUACAUGUGGAGUAUAAUACACUGGCGGGUAACAGUAAAUCUCAUUGUCAGAGUCAGCCAACGAGUGUAAACUAUGUUACGUCAUCUUGCUUCGAGGCGGUGCGCGGUGGUUCUUUAUACCUGAGGAGAAAUACUUUCAGAAGCUCGGAUCGAGACGUCUGCGUAGUUGCCGUAAUGACCAGUUUCACGACUAGACUCGUCAUUCAUCGUUAUACGUUGCUUCAUGGGAUGUUUUUGGUAAAUACCCGUCAUGUUUUCGAGUCGGCUGAACCCAAUAAUGACUACUAUUUUCCUCCGUCACGUACAGUAUGCCAAUAAUGAAAGAAACCACCAUUUCAUUACAAUGAACCAAACAAUAUUUUGCACAAAAUUAAACCAAAAAUUUCUCUGUAUUUAUUCUUGGCUCUCACUCUAUUACUCUAUUAUAAGUAACAGUAUAAAAAACCUGUGCAGUUUGUUGGUUGCAGAUUUGUGUAAUCCAAUAAAUUACACCGGUUAA
rnacentral:lncRNA from 1 species